rnacentral:lncRNA from 1 species
GAGGAGGUGCUUGAUGAUUGCUUGGUUGUGUUCCCAGAGGUUGCUGAAGGUCCCCCAGCGUGAGUGGCCAUCAGGGACUGGGUUGGCCUUGAUCCAGCCCCCACAGGCGUAGCUGAAGAAGUCAUGGCAGGGGUCCACUGUGGGGUCCAUGGAGCUCAAGAUGGAGCUGGUCACUGAGACACAAGCUUCGCUCAGGCACACAGAGGGGGAUCCUGG